AUUGUGUUGGCAAGGUUGAGCAUGGCAUUAGCUCUACAUGUGACAUACAAAGCCAGUAAAGCUGUCACUGAAAUCUUGAGCCUUUAAAGCACCUUAGACUUCGAUAAUACUACUUGAUCUCACCAGUAUUGUACACGUGGAGUCGAGACCAAAGGCAAUGUUCAUACCAAACGAAGUUCGUCAGUAAGAAUAGCAGCCAAUGCCUUCAUUGCCAUAAUGGGAAAACUACACAGGGUGACAAGUGUGGAGUGGGUUUGCUUGACCUACAGGGUUUCCAUUCAACUGAUGCAUUUGACCUUUUGAGUUGAUAGAUACUACGCUAUAUAAUAAACUAAAAAUGAUUGAGUAGAUACAGAAUUCAAUCUCAAAAUUAGAUAUUUAUAGGCAGCAGUCAGCUGGUGGACAAAAACGAUGACAAAAGCAGCAAUAUCGCUGUUGUGGUUCUCUUGGGAAAAUGAAAGGAUGAGUUUAGGUGUGGUUAAAGGGAAUCCCAGAGAUCUCGCCUGUAACAAAACAGCAACAGUAGUGGGAAUACAGUCAGGAACGCUCCCAGUUGGCAGCCUGCCAUUUAUGCAUCUAUCCUGGGCUUCUCAGCUGAAUUUGUAAUUGCUAAUCUGAAAAAAAAACACCUCAGGAAUCUCCUGGCAUGGCACAGAGAUUUAACAAGUUCUUUGUAAACUAUUAACACUCAGUUCACUAGGCUACAACAAUCAUUUCAGUAGCUGAGAUUGUGCAAACAUGCUACAUCUCUGACAAUGUCUUCCAGGAGAAACACCCACAUUUUCCCUAGGACAAAACCAUUCACACAGUUCUUCAAUCUACUAGCAGCUGCCAAUCCUCCCAGUCAAACAGAGAGAAAAUAAUGCAAGUAAUAGAAAUGGAAACAAUAUUGAAGCCGAUCCUUGCUUGUCUACCCUUCCUACCAAUGAACACACAUAGCAGUGCAAAAUGAUCUUUUUUAAAAUUUCACUUCAAAUUCUUUUAAUGAAUCGUACAAAUGAUAAGGGGGGAAAACAGAAGCCUUUUUAAAUCCAUUGACAUGUUCAACCCAGCGGAAGAACCCGACACCGUGGCCCUUCCCAACUGAGCUGCACGAAGCUUCAGUACAUCCGUCAGAAGGUACUCCUACAGCUUGGAAUGUACUAGUCAGCAGCAUCCCUCUACGGACAGCUAAUGACCCAUGAAGUGUGCUGGAGACAACACUUUUACCAUAAUAUCAGAGUGGGAAGACGCUAACUGCUCUCCUCUGCCUCUUCUACACCUACAAAACGUGAUGAAACGAUCUACAUGGAUGGCAUGCAAAACAAUAUUUUUCACUGAACCUGAUAAAUAUUUCUGGUGGCACCAUUAAGGCAGUGACUCAUGUGAACAACUCCAAUGGAAAUCUUUAAAUAUUCCUGUUUUAGACUCCUACAGCUGAAAUCCACAACUACAGCCAUGGACAAUCCAAUAAGCAAUAUCGUUUCAAGGCUUUUUUAAAGAAAAUCUUUCACUGCUCAAAGUCAACAAACCUUAGAUGGCGGUCUCCUAUUGCAAAUGUUUUUCCCCUUUAAGACAGUGAAAGAACAGAUGCCAUGCUGGAUUGAAACUUUGUUUAAUGAAGAGAGGAUUCUGACUUCCACUACUGUCUAUUCUGCUGACAAAUGGUCUCUGGGAAAUAAAAAUUGAAGACUUCAGAGCAAGAUUGCUGUACCAGAGGGACAUCAGAGACUGUUAUGUUGUUUUUUUUUGUUUCACAGAAACUUAGUUAUUCUCCAUCAUUCCAGACACAAAAAUACAGCUUGCUGGUUUCACGAUUCACUGCCAAAAUAGGACUGCUGAGUCUUUCAAAGGCAGAGUGGGUGCAGAAUGCUUUAUGAUCAACUCCUUGGGCUGCAAAAAUGUGGCAGUUCUGUCCCAAUCCUGCUCAUCUGACUUGGAACAAAUAGCAGUCAAGUGUCACCCACUUUGUAUGCUGUCAGACUUUUCAGCCAUUAUCUUGAUAGUGGGGUACAUUAGAUUAAACUAGGCUCUGGGCGAACUGAGAAACUUAAUCAAUUGUCAUGAAGUAGCACACCCUGAUGCCUUCCCUGUCAUUCUGAAGGACUUUAACCAGGCUAGCUUGAAAAAGUCUCUAAAUAAUUAUCACCAACAUAUCACAUGUGCAACCAGAGAAGAUAACACACUGGACCACUGUCAUACAACUAUCAAGAGUGCUUACCAUACCAUCCCACACCCACAGUUUGGGAAAUUUGUUCACCUAGCUGUAUUCCUACUCCUCGACUAUAAGCGGAGACUGAAGACCACAGCACCAGCAGAGAGGACCAGGAAGGUAUAGACAAUGGAGACAUCAGAAUGUCUUUCAAAAGGGUGAACUCUCACAAGAUAACGUGCCCCUUUGGUGUACCUGAUAGAACUCUAGGAUCCUAUGCCAACCUGCUGGCAGGCGUGCUCGAAGACAUUUUCAAUCUCUCAUUGCUGUAGUCAGAAGUUCCAUCUGCAUCAAAAGGGCAACAAUCAUACCAGCACCCAAGAAGAGCAGCGUGAGCUGCCUUAAUGGCUGUUGUCCAGUACUACUCACAUCUACGGUGGUGAAGUGCUUUGAGAGGUUGGUUAUGGCUUGAAUCAACUCCAGCAAGGACCUGGACGACUGCAAUUUGUCUGUUGUCAUAGUGAAGACAAUCUAAUUGACUCUUCAUGUGGCCAUGGAUCACUUGGACAAUAAUACUUGUGUCAGACUGCCGUUUACUGGCUACAGCUCAGCAUUUAACACAAUCACUUCUACGAUUCUGAUCAGAAAUUUCAAACCUGGAUCUCUGUACCUUUCUCUGCAACUAGAUCCUCUAAUCCUCAGAAGAUCAGAGUUUGUGCAGAUCAGAAACAACAUCUCCAGUUCAUCUCAAGGAUGUGUGUGCCCUCUCUACAUCCGUGACUGAACGGCUAAGCACAGCUCAAAUGCCAUCUAUAAACUUGCUGCAACACAACUAUUGCUGCAGGAUUUCAGAUGGUGACGAGAAGGCGUACAGGAGUGAGAUAGAUCAGUUGGUUGAAUGGUGUCGCAGCAAUAAACUGGCACUCAACAUCAGUAAGACCUAAUACUUGAUUGUGGACUUCAUUAAGGGCAAGGCAAGGGAGCUCACACCAGCCCUCGCUGAGAGAUCCAAAGUGGAAAGUAUGAGGAGUUAAGUUCCUGGGUGUUAACAUCUCUGAGGAUCUAUCCUGGGCCCAACAUGUCUGUGCAGUUACAAAGGUGGCACAAUGGCGGCUAUUGUUCAUUAGCAGUUUGAGGAGAUUUGUUCUGUCACCAAAGACACUCGCAAGUUUCCACAGAUGGACCAUGGAGAGCAUCCUAACUGACUGUCUCGAAUGGAGGAGCCUCAGUGACUGUGAGCUCAGUCAGCUCCAUCACAGGCACUCACCUCCCCAGCAUCCAGGACACCUUCAAGGAGCGAUGCCUCAAAAAAAAAAGGCAGCUUCCAUCAUCAAGGACCCCCAUAUCCCAAGACAUGCCUUCUUCUCAUUGCUACCAUCUGGGCGGAGGUACAGAAGCCUGAAGGCAUACCCUCAAUGAUUCAGGAAUAGCUUCUUCCCCUCUGCCAUCAGAUUUGUGAAUGGACAUUGAACCGAUGAAUACUACCUCAGUACUUUUCCCCCCCUCUUUUUGCACCAAUUUAAUUUAACUUUUUAAUAUGGCAAAACACUUACUACUGCCAUUUACAGCUUUUAUGUAUUGCAAUGUAUUACUGCCACAUAACAAAUUACGAGACAUAUGCUGAUGAUAUUAAGUAUGAUUCUGAUACGAUAGUAAUAAACUGA